GGGAGUCAGCCCCCCUCCAGGUUCUAGGUGGUGAGCGGGACUUACAUGAAAAGGAUGCUGGAGUGGAGAAAAAUGAAGUCAUACUUCUCCCAGCCCCGAGCGCACGUGGACACGUCCCCGUGUUGCCGAGCCUGGAUGAGUGUGUGCUCAGGACAUUUUCCCUGGGCUUGAUUUCACGAGUGGGCACAGGGCCCAGCCUCAGUGGGGGGCUUCAGGGACAGUGGGCCCUAAGGAUGGAGCGUGCCUACAUAGGACCUGGAAGCCAGUGCCAGGGAGGCCUGCCCAGUGCCACCCCGAGAGGGGACCAAGCUGGCCGGGGACCAAAAAGGCCCUGUCCGGCCCACACUCUGAGGACACAAAGCAGGCAUUGAUGGCACAAGAAGUGCCCAGAGGCCACUGCAGCUGGUGCAGCAUGGACAUCGCUGGGCUCUGGAAGGGGGGGUCAGGAUGACCCUGCAGCCCCAGGCCACCGUCAGGCAGGCUCAGAACGUAGCGUCGUGAGUGUCUGUGAUCAGCACCAAUGCCCUGGGCAUCCUUAUCCUCAGGUGCUUCUCUGCAGCAGCCGGGGUGCCUGAGUGGGCACCAUGGCCCUCCCUCCCCGGGUGUUGGCAGGAGGCAGAGGACCCCCCAUCCACUCGGCCCCCAAGGUGGGCGGUCUCCACCCUGCUCAGCCUUCUUCAGUGACCCUUCCCCCACGAGGCAGGACUGGGGCACCUGUACCCGGCCCACCUGAGGCUCUGGCCCUGCCUCUCACCCCUGACCCCACAGACCCCUUGCUUACCCCAUGUGCUCCCACUUGCCCCUCUGUUUCUCUGCUCUCUUUGCCUUGAGCCCAUUGGGCCCCCUCCUUCCUCACCCAGUUUGCCUGCCUGUCCAAGGCCUUAACUACCCCUCAAGCCUCAGCUCAGUCUUGCCUCCUCCAUGUAACCUUCAGGGAUUGCUCCAAGCCGACUAAGACCUCACCUGCAUUUCCCCCCUGCAAUCCUCCAGUGUAGGGUGUAGUCAUCAUCUGAAUUAUCAUGCCAGAUGUGACUCCCACCUGCACAGCCUUUUAGGGGAUGGAACUCAGCUGAAUACUUUCCCCACUAUGUCCUCGUAGGCACGGACUAAUCAUCUGUGGCUGUGGACAAUUUUUCCCUCGCAGUUUCCCUGUGAUUUCCACGUGGGCUGUCCACGAACACAGGCUCAGCCCAGCUCUCCCGCCCCACGUCGCUGCUGUGAGGUCUUUGAUUUCUUAAGGACAGAAGCCCCCGCACCCCAACACCCCAGCCUGGCGUGGUGGAGGCUAUGCCUGGGAGUCAUUCAAGACCUACCUCUGCUACUUACAGAUUAAGAGUCUUGGGUUCCCCAGCCUCUCCGGCUUGGAAGCUGGCCUGCUGCAGCCACAGAGAGGACAGUGCCUACAUGUCGAGGCCAGAAGAGCCGAACUCCAACGCAGCCCCUCGUCUAUGAGAUGUAGGAGCUUGCCUCUGACCGACGGCAUCCUCAUGGGCACGUGGGCUAGUCCCCCUCCCCACGCUGGCUCUGAGGAUUCCAGGCAUUUAGCUCUUGCAGGGAACGCAGGGCAUAGAGAUACCACCCAAAGGGCAGCUGCCCCCACAGCAGGACUCAGUUCAAAGUGCUCUUUCUGGGGGGCCUCCUUAGCACAUAUGUGUGCAAUUUUCCAUGUGCUGUUCUAUAAUCCUUGAUGUGUUGCUCUGCAGUUGGUCUCAAAUGGUUUCCUCAUAAUAAAUAGCAUC